rnacentral:RNase_P_RNA from 1 species
CGGGCCGGCCAGACGGUCGCGUCACCCGAGAGGGUGCCGAGGAACGUCCGGGCUCCGCAGAGCAGGACGGUGGGUAACGCCCACCCGGGGCAACCCGCGAGACAGUGCCACAGAGAGCAGACCGCCCCCUCGGGGGUAAGGGUGAAAGGGUGCGGUAAGAGCGCACCGGGCGCCUGGUGACAGGCGUCGCACGGCAAACCUCGUCCGGAGCAAGGUCGAACAGGGAUCGCUGACGCGGCUCGCCGAGAUCCCGGGUAGACCGCUGGAGCGGCGCGGCGACGCGUCGCCGAGAGAGAUGGCCGUCACGGGAGGAAUCCCGGACAGAACCCGGCGUAUCGGCCGACCCGGCUU